rnacentral:lncRNA from 1 species
UUAGAUUUUGGAUUGGGAAGGCAGACAACUGUUCCUGGUAAAGAAUCAGGAUAAUGUCACAGGACGUCUUGAUUGGACUUGCAACUCCCAGUAAUGACAGCCCAUGUUUGGUUCUGGCAUAUGGAUUUUCGAGUUGCAGUGUUGUUGCUUUGGUGUCGAUAAGAACUGAAUCAUCCACUUCAGAGACACUGAAUGGUAGUUUCUUGCCCCAGGUAUUUGCAUCUUGCUUCCCCUCUGCCACCCUCAUCCCAUCUGUGCCAGGUGCCCCACAGCAACCGCUAAGAUACCCCAAGAAGGCUGAACUAACCCCCCUACAGCGAUCCCCAAGAUGCCCAAGCCCCCCCAUCCCCGCCAGGGAGUCUAAUGAGAGACAGGUGGGGAAGAAAAGGCCUGUGUCCUUCCUUUAACUGGUUGUGUUAAAACCGCUUACUUUGGCAAAUUUUACCAAGAGGUAUGAGCGUUAGGGCCCCUCCCAUGCAAGUGGUGGUGGGGCAGUCCUGCAGCUUGAACUUCGUCAGCCUCACAGUGAACCCAGGCCUUCGGUCUGCAAACACCAGGCUUGCUGAUAAAGCUGAAUGCCCCCUUCCCCAGCUAGGCAGGCUCACCUGGUGUCUGCACAAAGGAGCUAUCUCAAGUCUACGGCUAGGGUAUAGCAGUGGGGUGGUCCCAGAUAAUCCUUAAAAUGAAUCCAUAUGUGGCUGGAUUUGUCUGAUGAAGUGGGGAGGAGGGUGAGGGGCCGAAACCAGCAAGCAUCUAUAUCCAGGGGCUGAUUAGCACCAUGGGAGGGGUGAGUAGAUGAAAGCGGGGUCCUGUGUCAGUGUGGGAAACUGGAUGGAGGGAGGAGAGCACGCUGUCUGACAUGCAAUGCACACACAUGAACACAUGCGUGCACAUCACCCAAUUCCAGACUCGGGUGUGAGCAGUGUGCAGACAGAGGCUGUGAUGUAUAGCUGGAACAGGGGCUUUCUAAGCUCUCCACGAGCCUGGGGCCUCUCGUGUCGCCCACUGGCCAAACCCCAGCAGCCACAGUGUGUGACAGAUGGGGUAGUGGCCCGUUCAGGUGUCAACAGAACAUCACGUGGCUCUGGCAUCUUGAGGGCCGGCAGCUCUCGGAGAUGACAUGGCCCUGAACGUGGGCCCUUGGUAUUCACUCCUGCAGUGGUACCACAGCAGGGGAGCGGGGAGGGCAGGCAGCUGAGGAGGCCAGGCAAGCCCAGGACAUCAGCAGGAGGGGCCAGAGUGGGAGAGGAGGGAAACAGAGGACACUGCAGGUGCACAUGGCUGACACCCGUGAGACAUUCCCCUAUAACUCUGUCGGGGUCUUGCAUGAGGAGGAGGGGGAAAACCCAGGGAAGACAGUGUUGUUAUCACCAAGGCCAGGAACAUCGAAGGCCCACCUCACUGACA